UAAUAAUUUGUGUUGCACUCACGAAAUCUCCAACAGAAGCUGUUAAAGAGCUGGAAGAAGUGGAUAAUAUUUCUAAACUCCGGCAGUCUUCACUAUUCACUAAACAUUUGGAAAUGAGAAAAGUUACAGCCUGCUGGAUACCUAUGAACAUUUGGAAAUGAGAAAAGUUACAGCCUGCUGGAUACCUAUGAACAUUUGGAAAUGAGAAAAGUUACAGCCUGCUGGAUACCUAAUGAACAUUUGAAAAUGAGAAAAGUUACAGCCUGCUGGAUACCUAUGAACAUUUGGAAAUGAGUUGGAAAAGGAAAAGAGUUGUAGCCCGCUGGAUUCCUAGACUGCUGACUGAAAACAGGCCAUGUAAUAGAGGAUAAUAUUUUGAGGAACUGUGAAACAUGACCCUGUGACAUUAUAUUUUUGACAUAACAAUCAAUUUGGAAGUGCUGGCAAAAGAACAUGCUGUUUUUAAAAUUAUAUAUCACAGACACUAUUUGAUCAAAUAGAACGAGACAUACCUGGUCGAUAAAUGAUUUCAAAUCCUGUAAUAUGUUUUCUAAGUUUUAUUUUUGAAAAAAAAAAAAAAAUAUAUAUCUAUCCAAGA